CAUUUUGCAAUAGCCCUGACUCCUUAAGCCGCUCUCUUUUCUUCUAUCACAGGUCUCGCCCUUCCAGAUUACAAUCCAUAUACACACACACAUAUAUAUAUACACACACAUGUAAGUACACUACAUCUUUCAUUUCCAUUCUGCAAUCACAAGUUCAAGUAUUCAAUUGCUCUAACUCCUUGUACGGACUGCAUGUUUUUGGUUUUGUGUCCAUACCGUUAGUUUUUCUUUUUUUUUUUUUCUGCUAAUUUUAGCGUUUCAGAAUCGAUUUUUGGGUUUUUUUUCUUGUUGAUUUUCACUAAUUAGAUCUCACUCUUGCUGUUUAAGACCGUAUGGUUCAGUUUGAUUGCUGUGUUUAGCUGAUUGAAGAGCUUUACAUUUCAUGAAUUUGUGUUGAUCUAUUUGGGCUAGAACUGUCUAAGAGUUUGUUGAGUUUGGUACAUAUAUAGGUAUAUCUAGAACUCAAUCUAGAUUCGAGGGUUUUAGUCUCACCCUUCCAUCACCGGUGGUUUAGAGAGACAAAGUCAUUGCUACUGCAUCAAAUGGGGCUUUCGGAAGGUUCUGCAGAGCUCUGAUGGCGGCGGCCGCCGGCAUUCCUAAGGACACUCGGGAAACCAGGGUCUUGAAGGUUGGACCCAUCUCCCCGGAGCUGAAAAAAUUUAUGGGAGCCCCUUCAACGUGUCGCACCGAUGCCGUGAGAAAGGUGUGGGCACACAUAGUGCAACACAAGCUUCAGGAGGAAAUUCAUGAGUUGCUUCUGAGUUUUGCUGAAGCUGGAGCCACAGUUGUGAGACUUAAAGGAGGUGAUCCACUGGUGUUUGGGAGAGGUGGGGAGAAGAUGGAUUUCUUGCAACAACAAGGGAUUGAAGUGCAAGUCAUUCCUGUGUUAGAUUUCUCACGGGCCACUCAAGAAAUGGAGGAACAGACCACCUGUUUGUUGCAGAAAAUGCAGCGGACCCUGAUUCACCUUUGGUUGUUUAUAUGGGUUUGUCAACUCUCCCUUCUCUUGCACGAAAAUUGAUACACCACGGUUUGCCACCCAAUACACCAGCUGCUGCAGUUGAGCGAGGGACCACGCCUGAACAAUGCAUUAUCGAGGAAAAAGAAGGUAUUUAGCUUUCUCAUGCAAAUUUAUUCAUACGCACACAUACAAAUAAGGUUGGCAAUGCUAUUGAUGUUGCUGCUUCAGAGAUGAUUCUACUUUCUUGGAUUUUGUACCGCGGGUUUUGCAGCUACUUCCUUGGAUUUUGCAGCUACCUCCUUGGAUUUUGUAUAGUGAGGUGGUUUUUUGACAAGUGCAGAUUGAAACUCAAGUGCUAGAAGGUUUAUCAAUUUUUCAACAGAAGAGUUAAGAAAUUGAUGAUUUUCUUGACAAAUGGAUGUACUUCCUGUUUUGGAACAUUGAUAAAUGAUGAAUUGUAAAAAUGUUUUAACUCUUUUGAUAUAUUUAAUGGGAUAUGUAUGUUUUUUGAAUUAAAUUAAA